rnacentral:lncRNA from 1 species
CAGUGGUUAACGAAUCCGACUAGGAACCAUGAAGUUGUGGGUUCAAUCCCUGGCUUUGCUAAGUGGGUUAAGGAUCCAGCAUUGCUGUGAGCUGUGGUGUAGCCUGGCGGCUACAGCUCCAAUUCGACCCCUAGCCUGGGAAUUUGCCGAGGGAGCAGUCCAAGAAAUGGCAAAAAGACAAAAAAAAAAAAAAAAAAAAAAAAGUGCUGUUACAUACCAGGAGUUCCCGUCAUGGCUCAGUGGGUUAAGAAUCUGACUAGGAUCCAUGAGGAUGUGGGUUCGAUCCCUGGCCUUGCUCAUUGGAUUAAGGAUCUGGCAUUGCUCUGAACUGUGGUCUAGGUUACAGAUGUGGCUUGGACCUGGCAUUGCUGUGGCUGUGGUGUAGGCCAGCAGCUGCAACUCCAAUUCCACCCCUAGCCUGGAAACUUCCAUAUGUCAUAGGGGUGGCCCUAAAAAGAAAAGGAAAAUUAAAAUUAAAAUGCGAUUACAUACCAAAUAUUCCCUGACCCAUAUUAGAGAAGGAUCUUAGAACUGGGCUCAGCAAAUUAUUCUGUAGCAGGAAUCCACAGGUGAAUCAGACAGGUGGGGAGGUUACCCUCUAGUUCAGGCCAAGGGGAUUUUUAAAAAAUCCAAAUUUCUGGGAUAUUGCUUCAUUCUCUGCUUUAAUCUGAUGGAAGAAUGGUUUGACUCUUGGCUCUGGAAUCUGAUAUGGCCAGUAUCAUCCUGCCUUCCAGGAGACAGAAAUAGCCAGGUCUCUGGAUUCACCUUCUGACACCUGAAUAGUAGAAUAGAAGGAAGCUCUUUUCUGAACCUGGCUCCCUAUGCUCCUCUUUCGUCUUCCGCCUUCCCCGGCCUUAGACUUACUCUCAGGCUAGAGUGAGACUUCAGAGACUUGUAAACAAGAUGUUGGCCAUCAGAGUGUCUCUUAUUUCUUUAGCAUUUUGGGGCCACACUUUAACUUUGGCAGUCCAGUAGAAUGACUCAAGCUUCCCUCUCCUUGGGAAGCCUAGAGUUCCCUUGCAGCUCCAGGAAUUGUAGAGAGCCCUCUGUUGCUCUCUUGCUCCAGGUUCCUGCUCCUUGUGAACUAUUUCUUGUUCUUAUCUCCUUAUUUUUCCUCCUGUCCACACUGUCUUCUGCCUAUCAUCUUCCCCACCCGGGCAUAGCCCCUUUUCCUUCAAUUCUCCAGGCAACCAGGCACACAAGACCAUGCCUUCAUUGAAGGUCCAUGGGUAACAGAGCUGGUUGCCUUGCCACAUCACACAACAAAUGAUUUUCACAAAAUCAAAAGAAGACACUGGAUAUUAGACACCCUUGUUGUUGGAACAGCCUCAUUUUCACUGGCUCUGCCGGUCGCCCUAACCCUUUGUUUGAGUCUUCCACGUUCUUCUCCCUGACAUCUCUCUUUCCCUCUCCCCAUUCGCUUUAUCCUUCCCUUGCAGAUCAUCUUUUGGAAACCAAUGUCCAGGAAAAAGAGGGAGAGACUGCUGAGCUGGCCAGCCCUGUUUAUUCUCCUGAAAUGUACCAGUCAUGGGGAACAGGUGGGGAGAGAAUGUUCCAGGAGGAGGGAUGAGCAUGAGGGUGGAGAAAGGCUAGGGUACAUCCUCAUCUCAGAAAUGAUCUUAAGCCUGUUGAAAUUUGUUAGUUUCUUAUUCUCUAUUUUCAGCCUAGCCUGACUAGAUUUCAUAUCUAAAUGUAAAGCAGCGCCUGCCCCAAACUGUGAUUUUCAGAGCUUUACUGCUUUGAUAGUUUCAGGAUGUAUUCCUUCUGUUCUUUAACUGCCACCAUCCUUCUUUCUAUGUGACGUUCACAUGCCAACCAACAGACAUCUUGAAACUUUACUGUUUUAAAAAAACUAUUUUCUGUUUUUUCCUGUUAAAAAAUCUUUUUCUUUCAUUUUUUUGGGAUAUAAUUGACAUAAGCCACUGUACAAGUUUAAGGUGUACAGCAAAAUGAUUUGGCCUCGUGAGAUGGUGAUCACCAUCUGUUUAGUGAACAUUCAUCAUCCUAUAGAGACACAAAAUUAAAGAAAUAGGAAAAAAUUUCCUUGUGAUGAAAACUUUUAGAAUUACCUCUUAUCAACUUUCAUAUAUAUCAUGCAGGAGGUGAGUUAAUCAUAUCGAUUGCAUUGUACUGUACAUCCGUAGUACAUAUUUGUUUGAUAUUUUACCAUUGACUUUUAUUUUCCUCUUAUUUCAUGACAGCUGUCAUUUGAGAUCAACAUUUUUGAGUGAUGGACUAUACAUGUAUAAUGAAGACAUGCUUCCUGCCCUCAAGGAAGCAUGAUCUAGUAGAAAAUAAGUAUAAAGUACUCUAUAACCUUUAACAUGCUUCCAAAAACUUUAUCUUACAACACCCGUGAAGUAGGGAAGUGUACAGCAUGAGGAUUUGACUUUGUGAGAUGGUGAUCACCAUAAGUUUAUGAUGACCUGAUUGAUGAUGACCUGAUAUAAAGAAUGACAAAAUAGAAACUCAGAGAUAAUGAGUUCUAGACUUGCACAGCUAAUGAGUGAUGGACCAGAACUGGAACUUGGGCUUCGAUUCCUAGUCUAACCAUCUUUCUACUUCCUACACCCGCAUUGGGUGCGUCACUCCCACUCUAAGCACAUUCCCAGAAAGAGAAAGUAUUUGGAAAAUGAUUGGACUGGUUCUAAAAAUGGAUGAAGUUCACUAGCUCUUGGGAAAAAAGAAUAUGUUGCCGUGGACAGCUUUCCUCUUUAUCUUUCCUCUUAAAUGUCAGUGUCCAAACCAAUGUCAGCCCCAUAAAUCAGGAUGAUUUUCACAGAACUGUUUCCCCAAACAUAUUUAUGUUAGAUUUCCUUCGGAUUAACUAGAUAUGAGUUCUGAUUCUGUGAAUGUUGUUAUCCUGUUCUUGAAUAUAUUUUUAAAGCAGAUGUUUUUUGUGAGAGCUGAAUAAUUGUUGACACCCUCCAAAGCUCAAUGUUUACUGAAAUCACGUUAAGCAAAUUAUAUGAUAAAAAUCUAUUUAGAUACAAUUCACUCUUUUUAAAACCUUAUUCUUUUCCUGGAAAGAGAAACCCAAUGAGGAAGAUAUGACACAUAAAUAUACAAAGCAUGUGAGGUGGUGUAAUCCUAGAAAAUAGAGGCAGCAGAGCAGACUCUGAAUUGCUUUCAGCACUUCCUCAACCAGGCUUCCAUUAGCACAGCUUCAUUUUCUUUACUCAAGGCUUUGUGCAUUCCAGAACAUCCAGCAGCCAUACGAAAGUGUAUGUGUAUGUACUUCUGUAUCCAGACCCACAAAGCAGAGAAAUGAAGAGAGACUUUACGACAUUUUUAAGCUGCUAUUCAGUCUGAAAACUGCCCUAUGUCUGAGCUUCCUUCCUUGUUUUUGGAUCAGAUUGAUUUGAUAUUUUAGAUUAUUUGCACAAAAGCCAAGACAGAACAAAUGAGAGAACACUUAUAUACUAUUUUGGAUUGUUGGUUUCACUGUACUCUCCCAUUAGCACAAAUAAUGGAGAGUUGGAUGGUUCUAGGAUUUCUAAUUUGGACAGUGCCAAAAUUAUGUAGCGCUGUAUACAGAUUAUCAAAUAUGUGGAGGUCCUUUCUUAUCACAGAUAAAUGUAUGAAUGUUAUGUUUGUGUUACUUUGUGGUAAAAAAACUCAUGGUGGUUGAUAUAAAUUAAAGAGCUCCUGGCAUAUACCUGGCAUGAACUCUCAAUAACUAUUUGCUGACUAAUAAUGAAGUUUACAUUAUCAUUUCUCUCUUGAAACUAUCACCAUGAUAUUAAAUACAUACUCUCAUAUAGU